UACAGAGGGUGCAAGCGUUAAUCGGAAUUACUGGGCGUAAAGGGUGCGUAGGUGGUUAAUUAAGUCAGAUGUGAAAUCCCCGGGCUUAACCUGGGAAUUGCAUUUGAAACUGGUUGACUAGAGUACGGUAGAGGGAAGUGGAAUUUCCGGUGUAGCGGUAAAAUGCGUAGAUAUCGGAAGGAACAUCAGUGGCGAAGGCGACUUCCUGGACCGUUACUGACACUGAGGCACGAAAGCGUGGGGAGCGAACAGG
rnacentral:rRNA from 1 species